rnacentral:rRNA from 1 species
AUUGAACGCUGGCGGAAUGCUUUACACAUGCAAGUCGAGCGGCAGCGCGGGGCAACCUGGCGGCGAGCGGCGAACGGGUGAGUAACACAUCGGAACGUACCUUGUAGUGGGGGAUAACUAUCCGAAAGGAUAGCUAAUACCGCAUACGACCUGAGGGAGAAAGCGGGGGAUCGCAAGACCUCGCGCUGGAAGAGCGGCCGAUGUCCGAUUAGCUAGUUGGUAGGGUAAAGGCCUACCAAGGCGACGAUCGGUAGCGGGUCUGAGAGGACGGCCCGCCACACUGGGACUGAGACACGGCCCAGACUCCUACGGGAGGCAGCAGUGGGGAAUUUUGGACAAUGGGCGCAAGCCUGAUCCAGCAAUGCCGCGUGCAGGAAGAAGGCCUUCGGGUUGUAAACUGCUUUUGUCAGGGAAGAAAUCCUCUGGGUUAAUACCUCGGGGGGAUGACGGUACCUGAAGAAUAAGCACCGGCUAACUACGUGCCAGCAGCCGCCGUAACAC